GGCCAUGGGCCCGUCACUCCCAACACCAAAGGAAGAGGAGGAUGGCGGGGAAAUCUGAGCCCCCGCCUCUGGGCUUCCAGGGAGGGAACCUGAAACCAGGAAACUCAGCCUCAACAAACCCCUGCUGAGCUGGGCAGCCAGUUCCCGAGGUGUCCCCGCCCCUCGAUCCUGGCCAGCCCCUGGUCCCCAGAACGUCAGCUGAGGCUGCCUCCUGCAGAGAGCCGGGGAUGGAGGAGCACUGGGUUCCCAGGCCUGCUCGCUGGCCCCGCUCCCUAACCCGCCCGUGAAAGGAAGCAUAUGACCACACGCCCAGGGCCAAAAGGAAAGAGCCGGGGCAGGAGCAAAUGCAGAGCAGCAGGCCUGACAGAGCCACGCUCACCAUCUCUCUCGGUCCUUUGUUUUUCACGGGAACCAAGUCUAACCCAGGACCCAGGAGAGCCGGUUCCGGGAGAUGUAGGAGGCAGACAGGUGGGCGAGCGUGGAGGAGAAGAGGAAGGUAGAGCUCAGGUGUGUGGACUCUGGGGAAUCCUGGGGUGCGGAUUGCUGUGGGAGCUGCUCCCUGAACCCUCCCUCCUGGUAGGAGGGCACGGGGCCCUGCUUGAACCCGCCCUGGCAGGAUGGGAGACCCUUCCGGGUCAACGGGAGGUGAAACACGGCCACAAGGAGGAGAAGCAGUGCCAUUCCAGAGUCCAUGUGGGACAAGGUCUCAGAGGCUUCCGGGCACAAGGGUGACAUUGCUGCUGUCCCAGAGCCACCCCCAGAGGAAGGCUCUAUGUGCUUCUAGUCCACGUGUCUGCCCCCAGAUAUUUUAGAUGUGGCAGUCUCCUCAAGCCGAUGACUUCAUGAGCUUCCAGUUCACCCCCAGGACAGCCACCCCCCUCCCUCCUUUCUUUCUGGAGUGACUCUAGACGGGAUGGGAGCUGCAAGGGUUGGUGUUGAGACUGCUGCCCGGUCUGUGAAGGCUGGUGCUCUGCCGAGCAGGGACCAGGGCUUCAGAUCCAGGCAGGCUUGCAAGGUGGGAGCCCUGGCUCAAGGCUGCCUUUGCCCCGAGGGGUGCCUGCGUGGGAGGGGAGGCAAAAGGAGUGACAGGUGUGUAGGCCAAGAAUGAAGGAGAAAGGCCAAGCCCCGCCUCCUUAAAGAUGCCCUAUGGGAGGGCGUAAAACACAGGCGCGCACGCAGCGAAAGAAACCCCAACGGGAGAUGUGAGCCAAGAGCACUGUAGAUGAUGGAGUGGGAUCAUUUGAAAGUGAGUGCCUUCAGGAGUGCAGCCAGGGCAGGCUGUAACAGUGCUACACAGAGAGUAUAGAAAAACAUCCGCAUUUCUGCCCCGGGAGCUGUCCAUUUUAGGGUUGAAAACUGCUUUCUCCGUACAAGGCGCAGAUAUGACACCCAUCCUGUCACCUAAGUUUCCACCACCGGAGACACUCCACUAACUUUUCCAUCGACAGCUUUUUAUACAUCUGUCUACAUCCAUGCAUGUGUUUAAUGUCACAUAAGUGAAAUAUUAUGCAUGAUGUUUACUCAUGGACACUUUUUAAAAACAACCUUUGGAAUAUUCCUUGCCUCCCCUCUCUCCCCUGAGAACCGAUGUGGACGGGCUGGUGGGUCACCCCCGGCCCUGUUCUCUGGCCACAUGUGGAUACCCUGACCCUCCCACAUGCAUUAUUGUUUGCUCGGCAGAAAUGGGACCUUGCUGUUUACAUCUCUAUAUUUUGCUUUUCUCGAGGCCAAAUAUUUUUAUUAGUUUCCCUAAGUCAGGGAUUAUCAACGAAGGCGGUUUUGCCCCCCAGGAGACAUUAGGCAAUGUCUGGAGACAUAUUUGGUUGUGACAACUUGGGGGGGUGGGGGUGCUAUUUGCAUCUAGAAGGUGGAGGCCAGGGAGGUUGCUCAACACCCUGCAGUGAACAGGACGGCCCCGCCAGAGAAUGUCUGGCCCAAAGGUCAGCAGGGCCGGGCUGAGAAGCCGGCCCUGGCUGAAGAGGACAAAUCUUGAAACGAAUGAAAUGAAAUGAAAAUCGAAACGUCCUUUAGCGUGUCCACUGCUGAUCAUGAAGAUGCUUAUGUUGACCGUGCAGUGAACUGUGGCCCAUCUUUAUGCCACAGACGGCCCGAUCAUUCUUGACUCACCCUCUUGUCAUCUUUGGGAUGUUCCGUGGUAAACAGCCCUGCCUGCCAGGGAACGUCCAGGACACAUAUCUGGGUUGGGUGGCACCACCCACCUACUGGGGCUAUGAUUCUGAUGACCAGAGUUGAUGGGGGGGGCCCAUCGUGACCCCAAUGACGGUUGCCCAUUCCUCUCUGAGGAAUCAGAGGCUUGCAUCGCAAACUGCAGAAUCGUCCCAACUGCGGGCACACUUCCUGAGCGUGCGGGCCGAUCUGAAGGCCUGUCGCACAGCAUAGAGCGUCUGGCUCCCCAGAAUCUGCCGGAAGGAGUGCGGGGGCUUCAGCUCCGCUCCAGCUGUCUCCAGGGAGGGGAUGCUCCACGCUCAGGAGGAAAUGGAUCUUCUCCAAACUGGGAGGCUGAGUCUUCCAACGCUCGUCCUGGUGCUGGGUGGACAGAGCCUGGUGCAGCCGGGCCUCCAGCCGGAAGCCUAUGAGGUCAUUCUGACUCUGUUUACCUGAGGGAGCAGGAGGGAGGAGGUGUUGCACUUCCUCCCGGCCCUGGACCACAUUUACUUGGCCAAGCCAGGCCCGGGGCAUGCUUGCUGGGUAUGCUCAUGUCACACGCCUGGGACACCUGGGACAGGCUGACAGCUCUGCUGGGCUCCUAGAUGGGAAAGUCUUCGAGGGGGAGGCAGGGGCAAGGUGACUGUUUCUGCUGGGAAGUGCUGGCCCCAGGAGCGUGGUCUGAGCGUCCUGGAAGGCCCCCUUCCUGGCUGGCCUGGCAGGCGCUGCCCCCUCCUGUCUAUCCUAAGUCCUGCUGGGAGCCAAGGAUACAAGCCGAGAUCCAGCAGACUGAGGUCAGAACGCACACAGGAGGCCGGGCUGGGGUCUCCUGUAUGGCUCCCCUGUUAGCUUGCCCCCCAUAUCAAAGCAGAGGAGGCAGGUUGGAGAGAGGGUGAUAGAGGGAGCUGCCAGCCUCGGGGGCCGCCUUCCUCCUUCCCUCUCCUGCCUGGGUGUGGGACGUCCUAACCCUGUCCUCCCUGCCCGGGGCAGAGGUCAGACCUGCAGCCAGGCCCCCACCUUCAUCCUGUGCUGGUGAGCCCUCCUGGCGGUGGAGCAGAGAGCACGGAAAGAGCAGCUUGUUGACGCUAGUGGCCAGAUUCUCAUCUACUCCCAUCUUCAGCAGAUUCCAUAUCUGAGGCCUCAGUUCCCUUCGUUUUGAGAUGGGAAGAUUCCAACUAGAAGAGGACGCCAGAGAGGGAGGAGAGGUCAGUGGGACUGAGGCUGGGCUCCCGGGAGCCAAGGCCACGGCAGGCACUGGGCGGCAGUAAUGGCUGGGGCAGGUCAGGGUGUGAUGGGGGACACUGAGUUGGGAAGACGAGGAGGUUUCAGGGACUGCUCUGUCCCUUCACCAGCUCUGCCUUCUGAGAGUCAUUUAACACUGGACACCUCAAGCCUCGUGAUAACAGCCACCAGUGCACCAGAUUUUAGAGCCUUCGGUCAGCCAUUCACAGCAAUCCCCUAGGAAGGGACUCCUAAGCACUUUGUGGACAGAGAGGCAGGGCUUGGCGAGGCGUCAAGGCAGCUGGGCUGCCAGUCUCCGAGUCACACUGGAGCCUCUGCCCCAACUCCUGUCCACACCACCACAGAGCUCCGUGCUUUCAGGGGAGCCCGCUCCGCCGUCUGCUCCACACCCUCAGAACGCUCUGACCUCACUCAGAACAAAACGUGUGCCCCUCCCAGCCCCUCCACCCACCUCCUCUUCCCGCAAGCAGGGAGAGAGGAGGGAAGGAAGGGAGGGAGGAAGGGAGCCCAGGCCCCUUAUUUCCACUACCACCCCCCUCCACACCGUGCAGCCAGCCUUGACCCCGCCCCCUUUUGCAGCACCAUUGCUGAUGUAUUUCUGAUUCUCACAUGCACUUGGUCACUCACAUGCAUAUCAGCCUGAAAGACUGAGAGCCCCA
ensembl:lncRNA